rfam:Brassica oleracea var. oleracea cultivar TO1000 chromosome C5, whole genome shotgun sequence
GCUGGAAUAGCUCAGUUGGUUAGAGCGUGUGGCUGUUAACCACAAGGUCGGAGGUUUGACCCCUCCUUCUAGCG